CCGAGUUUACAACUCCCAAACCCCUGUGAACAUACCUUACUGUUGCCUCGGCGGAUCAGCCCGCGCCCCGUAAAAAGGGACGGCCCGCCGCAGGAACCCUAAACCCUGUUUUUAGUGGAACUUCUGAGUAUAAACAAACAAAUAAAUCA
rnacentral:misc_RNA from 1 species